rnacentral:rRNA from 1 species
AUUGAACGCUGGCGGCAGGCCUAACACAUGCAAGUCGAACGGUAACAGGAAGCAGCUUGCUUCUUUGCUGACGAGUGGGGGACGGGUGAGUAAUGUCUGGGAAACUGCGUGAUGGAUGGGGAUAACUACUGGAAACGGUCGCUAAUACCGCAUAACGUCGCAAGACCAAAAAGGGGGACCUUCGGGGCUAUUACCAUCGGCUGUGCCCAGGUGGGAUUAGCUAGUAGGUGGGGUAACGGCACACCUAGGCGACGAUCCCUAACUGGUCUGAGAGGAUGACCAGCCACACUGGAACUGAGACACGGUCCAGACUCCUACGGGAGGCAGCAGUGGGGAAUAUUGCACAAUGGGCGCAAGCCUGAUGCAGCCAUGCCGCGUGUAUGAAGAAGGUCUUCGGAUUGUAAAGUACUUUCAGCGGGGAGGAAGGGAAGAAAGUUAAUACCUUUGCUCAUUGACGUUACCCGCAGAAGAAGCACCGGCUAACUCCGUG